rnacentral:rRNA from 1 species
GCAGCCGCGGUAAUACGGGGGAUGCGAGCGUUAUCCGGAUUCAUUGGGUUUAAAGGGUGCGUAGGCGGCUUUGCAAGUCAGCGGUGAAAGGCCCGGGCUCAACCCGGAAAGUGCCGUUGAUACUGUGAGGCUGGAAUGCGGAUGCUGUGGGAGGAAUGAGUGGUGUAGCGGUGAAAUGCAUAGAUAUCACUCAGAACACCGAUUGCGAAGGCAUCUCACAAAUCCGCAAUUGACGCUGAGGCACGAAAGCGUGGGGAUCGAACAGGAUUAGAUACCCC